rnacentral:tRNA from 1 species
GUAGAUGUAGCUCAGUUGGUUAGAGCAUCUGACUGUUAAUCAGAAUGUCGCAGGUUCGAGUCCUGCUAUCUACG